UUAGAAAAACAAGUCAAUUAGGUGUGGGAAAAUCUUAGUAACAUCACAAUGGAGUCUUAACGAUCUUCUGUGAGCAGAUUCACCAGUUAUAAUUUACACCUUUUCAUCUAAUUCUACAAAAUAAACAAAAGUUAAGAUUCCCGGAAACAGCAAAAGUUGUGUCAACAUGAGAAACUUUCACAGAACUCGAGGAAAGAUCCAUUGAAGGUCGACGGACUCUCCUUUGAAAGCAAUUUGCGAACAGGUUUUUAGUUUGUUCUGAAAAAAGCAAUUCAAAAGAGGAAACUAUUUUGGGGCUGUGCGAUUUCAAAGAAAUUAAUUUUAAUCUUCCAGCGGCUUUUGUAUGAAGAAUCACUCACUAUUUCGUGGACAAUAAAAACAAACCGAAACAAUAAAAGAAAACAUGACAAGAAAUUUUUUUAUCUUUUUUAUAUUAAUAAUUUACAUUUUAGAUAUAACAAUCUGUGAGUUGAUACCAUUGUUUUUAUGU